GACGAACGCUGGCGGCGUGCCUAAUACAUGCAAGUUGAGCGCUGAAGGUUGGUACUUGUACCGACUGGAUGAGCAGCGAACGGGUGAGUAACGCGUGGGGAAUCUGCCUUUGAGCGGGGGACAACAUUUGGAAACGAAUGCUAAUACCGCAUAAAAACUUUAAACACAAGUUUUAAGUUUGAAAGAUGCAAUUGCAUCACUCAAAGAUGAUCCCGCGUUGUAUUAGCUAGUUGGUGAGGUAAAGGCUCACCAAGGCGAUGAUACAUAGCCGACCUGAGAGGGUGAUCGGCCACAUUGGGACUGAGACACGGCCCAAACUUCUACGGGAGGCAGCAGUAGGGAAUCUUCGGCAAUGGACGAAAGUCUGACCGAGCAGCGCCGCGUGAGUGAAGAAGGUUUUCGGAUCGUAAAACUCUGUUGGUAGAGAAGAACGUUGGUGAGAGCGGAAAGCUCAUCAAGUGACGGUAACUACACAGAAAGGGACGGCUAACUACGUG
rnacentral:rRNA from 1 species